CCUUUGAGACUUUCUCGAGUAACCUGGUGGUUCUUGUGUUUUUUCUAAGGACACUUAUUGGAGCGUGGAACUCGCCUUUUGCUGGAGCUUAAGGACUCGUGUAUUUGGAUUCCCCUCCUGGAGACUCUCACCUGGAAACCAACCAUCCUCCGUCCUGCCACUCUCUCUCUCUCUCUCCCACGGACCUGGAACACAAACAGACACCUAAACCUAAAACACUUACUUCCCGGACUUCCUUUGCCUCCUCCUCCAAGCUGACCUCCCUCCCAAGAGCCUGACAAACCCUGUGCCUGACAUUCACAGUAAAUAGACAACCCGUUGCCUGACAUUCACUGUAAAUAAACAUCAUUAAACUUUC